UCUAUAAUAAGCAGGUACUGACACAGUGGGCAGCAGAGAGCUGGCGCCCUAGACCGCCGGCUUGAGCCCCACAGGUGCUGUUCCCUUGCCUCCCCACCCCCAACUUGGCACACAGUGACAUCAGGACAACACAAUCGCCCCACUACCAGUUACCGGUAUUCCAGUUUAACCCCGUUUCUCUCCCCCCGCCAAUUUUCCUCCCCAUAAUUAACUACGCGCCCACCCUCUCGCCAGCCCCCUCUUCUCCCUAACCAAGAGAAGCCGCUGCUGUCCUAUUCUUGAAACCGCCACGGACCAUUAGUUACAUAUUUGAACCAAUAAGGAAACACUUACCGAGCGCUGCUGUCACUCUCCCUCUCUCCCUCUCUGCCUCUCUCUCUCCCACUCUCUUUCUCGUCUUCCCUCAUUCUGUGCCGCUGCCGAGCCUGUCUCAGCUCCACACACACACACAUAUACUUUAUAUAAAUUCAAAAAUAAAAAUAAUUAUAAUCAUCCAAAAGCCAAACAAAAUUAAGGAGAGUUGCAAGAAGGGGGCAGGAGGAAGAGCCUGGGAGAGAGGAGGGGCGGAGGCAUCUGCAGCUCCCAAGCUCAACUCCUGCUCCUGCAUUCCUCCUGCCCCUUGGGGGCCAGAGGGUCGGGAAGGAAGAGAGAGAUGCCCUCAACUUCUGUCUCUCCCCUCCCAUCCCCACCCUCCCCAGCUGCCCCCAGCUUCGGCAACUCCACCUGGGAGGAAAAAAAAUUAAAUGGGGGAAAAAUAAUUAUUAAUCAGAUUAAUUUAAAAAAAAUACUGCUAAUGAAGGGAGCGCCCAGGGCAGGUUUCCCUGGCAAUGGUUAGGCUCUUACAGGGAGGACUGUUCUGCGGAGCGCUCGGAACGGACAAACCACAAUAAAAAGUUCACGUUCAUGGAUGGAAUCCACAUGACUUCUUGUGGCCAAUCCAACUUUAAGAGAACAACAUCCCCUCUAUGCCGUACCCCUGAAAGCUCCUACUCCACCCUAGACAGGAACAGUAGUGGAAGACCACUGGCAGCCACCCAACCAAACCUGACCUGGAGUGGUCUGAAGAACCUAGGGGACUAGACCUACCCUGGGCAAUCCUGCAGUGCAGCAGGAGAGGUGAGAAUUGGGGUCAACUUCUAGGACCCUCAAAACGACCCACAUCCCCGGGGUCCCUUUCUUAGAGAGAAUGACAUUUUCCCCCAAGACCAUCCCUAGUUUCCCUUCCCAGUUCAAAUGGUGGCUUAUUUGAAAUCUUUUUACAAUUAAAAAUAAAAUUAAAGCCCAA